GGGUGACGGGUCGGGCCGGGCGGUACCUGGCGGCCUGGGCGCUGCCCCAGUUCCUGCUGCUCACCCAGGGAGACCUGCAGGUGCUGAAGGCAGAGGCAGAGCAGCUGAUGCUGCAGGUGAGUGAGACCUUCCCAGAGCCGGGGGACAUUCACGGGGACAGCCCCUCGGAGCCACUCCCCAGCCUGGCAUCCCCGUGGGAGCUUCAGCUGUGCCGGCAGAUCCGUGACGUGGCCAACAACAUCCAGCUCUUCUCUGGGGACGUGCUCUGGAUGUUCUCCACCAGCUGCAAGCGGCUCUCGGCCGAGAUCUUCGACCAGACG